GACGAACGCUGGCGGCGUGCUUAACACAUGCAAGUCGAACGGAAAGGCCCUUCGGGGUACUCGAGUGGCGAACGGGUGAGUAACACGUGGGUGAUCUGCCCUGCACUUUGGGAUAAGCCUGGGAAACUGGGUCUAAUACCGAAUAGGACCGCGCGCUUCAUGGUGUGUGGUGGAAAGCUUUUGCGGUGUGGGAUGGGCCCGCGGCCUAUCAGCUUGUUGGUGGGGUAAUGGCCUACCAAGGCGACGACGGGUAGCCGGCCUGAGAGGGUGACCGGCCACACUGGGACUGAGAUACGGCCCAGACUCCUACGGGAGGCAGCAGUGGGGAAUAUUGCACAAUGGGCGCAAGCCUGAUGCAGCGACGCCGCGUGAGGGAUGACGGCCUUCGGGUUGUAAACCUCUUUCACCAGGGACGAAGCGCAAGUGACGGUACCUGGAGAAGAAGCACCGGCCAACUACGU
rnacentral:rRNA from 1 species